CCUUUUCUAAGAGAUGCUCCAGCUCCCCUUGGGAAGACUUGUUUAGCUACAAGGUUUAUAGAAGAUAUGUUAAUGCUGAAUCCCCUGUGUUAAGCUAGGGGUGCCUCAGAGCUCAGCCAUUUUUCUUCUCCAUCUCCAGGAGGCAGAGCUCUGUUCUAAAGCCACCCCAUUUGCUGCCCUGAUUCUGCCAUGGACACCAGGCUUCUUUGGGGUAUGGUCGUUUGUUUCCUGAGAUCAGGCUAUAUGGAAGACAAAGUCACUCAGACCCCAAGACACUUGGUCACAGCAAGAGGAGAGAAUGUGAUGCUGAGGUGUGACCCAAUCAAGCCACACGUUUAUAUUUUUUGGUAUCAACAGCUCCUGGGACAAGAAUUGAAGUUCAUGGGUUACCUUCAGAUUGAAAAAGUCUUAGACGAAUCAGGUGUGCCAAAAGCUCGAUUCUCAAUGGAUUGGCCCCGAAACUCAUCCUCUAAUUUGAAAAUCCAAUUCACCGAGCCUCAGGAUUCAGCUGUUUAUCUCUGUUCCAGCAGCCUAGCAGGAUUCAAUGAAAGACAGUACUUUGGCAGUGGUACUAGGCUGUUUGUUGCAGAUGACCUGACCAGGGUGACUCCUCCAAAGGUGACUGUAUUUCAGCCAUCUGAGGAAGAGAUGGAGGAGAAGGGAAAGGCCACACUGGUCUGUCUGGCCACAGGCUUCUACCCUGACCUUGUGGAGCUGAGAUGGUGGGUGAAUGGUCAGGAGACCCAAAUUGGGGUCAGCACAGACCCUCAACCCUCCAAGGAGCAGCCCGGUAACAACUUCUCCACCUACUCACUGAGCAGCCGCCUUCGGGUUUCUGCUCCCUUCUGGCGCAAUCCCAAGAACAGCUUCCGUUGCCAAGUACUGUUCAAUGGGAUCUCAGAGAAUGAGCCCUGGACAAGUAACCGGAGCAAACCCAUCACCCAGAAUGUCAGUGACCAGAUAUGGGGAAAAGCAGAUUGUGGUGUUACCUCUGAGUCCUAUCAACGAAGUAUCCAGUCUGCCACCUUCUUCUAUGAGAUUCUCUUGGGGAAAGCCAUGCUGUAUGGCCUGCUGGUCAGUGCCCUGGUGUGGAGAACCAUGGCCAAGAAAAAGCAUUCCUGAGGCUACCUGUGGUGAUAACAACAUGGAGGAGAAAGCAGGAGAAUUCAGCACCCUAUCUUGGCUACACUUUCUCUAUUCCUAUCCUGUGUUCCAGAAGAACUAUUAUUUCCUCAGUUCCCAUUGUCAUGUUUCAUAGGUCUCCUUAAAAAGAACUCUGAAGCUCACGGAGGACAAGGAUGGUGGCUUAAUCCUAAAGAAAUAAAAAAGGUCUUGCCCUGCUUAG